rnacentral:rRNA from 1 species
AUUGAACGCUGGCGGCAGGCUUAACACAUGCAAGUCGAGCGGAGAUGAGGUGCUUGCACCUUAUCUUAGCGGCGGACGGGUGAGUAAUGCUUAGGAAUCUGCCUAUUAGUGGGGGACAACAUUCCGAAAGGAAUGCUAAUACCGCAUACGCCCUACGGGGGAAAGCAGGGGAUCUUCGGACCUUGCGCUAAUAGAUGAGCCUAAGUCGGAUUAGGUAGUUGGUGGGGUAAAGGCCUACCAAGGCGACGAUCUGUAGCGGGUCUGAGAGGAUGAUCCGCCACACGGGGACUGAGACACGGCCCAGACUCCUACGGGAGGCAGCAGUGGGGAAUAUUGGACAAUGGGGGGAACCCUGAUCCAGCCAUGCCGCGUGUGUGAAGAAGGCCUUAUGGUUGUAAAGCACUUUAAGCGAGGAGGAGGCUACUGAGACUAAUACUCUUGGAUAGUGGACGUUACUCGCAGAAUAAGCACCGGCUAACUCUGUGCCAGCCGCCGCAGUAAUAC